rnacentral:rRNA from 1 species
AACAGGAUUAGAUACCCUGGUAGUCCACGCCGUAAACGAUGUCGACUUGGAGGUUGUGCCCUUGAGGCGUGGCUUCCGGAGCUAACGCGUUAAGUCGACCGCCUGGGGAGUACGGCCGCAAGGUUAAAACUCAAAUGAAUUGACGGGGGCCCGCACAAGCGGUGGAGCAUGUGGUUUAAUUCGAUGCAACGCGAAGAACCUUACCUACUCUUGACAUCCAGAGAACUUAGCGGAGAUGCUUUGGUGCCUUCGGGAACUCUGAGGCAGGUGCUGCAUGGCUGUCGUCAGCUCGUGUUGUGAAAUGUUGGGUUAAGUCCCGCAACGAGCGCAACCCUUAUCCUUUGCUGCCAGCGGUUCGGCCGGGAACUCAAAGGAGACUGCCAGUGAUAAACUGGAGGAAGGUGGGGAUGACGUCAAGUCAUCAUGGCCCUUACGAGUAGGGCUACACACGUGCUACAAUGGCAUAUACAAAGAGAAGCGACCUCGCGAGAGCAAGCGGACCUCAUAAAGUAUGUCGUAGUCCGGAUUGGAGUCUGCAACUCGACUCCAUGAAGUCGGAAUCGCUAGUAAUCGUGGAUCAGAAUGCCACGGUGAAUACGUUCCCGGGCCUUGUACACACCGCCCGUCACACCAUGGGAGUGGGUUGCAAAAGAAGUAGGUAGCUUAACCUUCGGGAGGGCGCUUACCACUUUGUGAUUCAUGACUGGGGUGAAGUCGUAACAAGGUAACC